UUUAGUCAUUGUCACGCCUUCAAUAUUUUGGGUUGCCUUUUUUGAUUCCUAAUAGGUUAUUUUGCCCGGUAGGUUUCUUUUGGGUACUAGGUUGAGGAUAGAUCAUCUAAGGGAAGGUAGGGUUCCGGGUUACCUUAUUCAUAUAUUAACUCUUCCUUACCUAAGAUGGUUGAGCCUAUGGGGUUAAGUCUUCCUUAGGUAUAGUCUAUUUAUCCAUAUGCACUAUUUGAUUUUUCUUUUCUUAUAAAUCCUGACCAUAUUUUUAUCCCUUAAUUCUUCUAUCUAAUUUGGCAGAAUGACAUUUCUUUAGUCCUUACUACUUCCAUCCCUUGAGUUGAGUUUCUUAAAGAGUUUUCUAUUGGAUUUCUAGCGCCUAAUAUAUUUCCUUUGGUUGCUAGGUUGGUUAGGGGUAAGCGAUUUGAGGUUAUGAUCUCACGUGACCACCUUAGUUCUUGUGAGCAUUUAUAUACCUAGUGCUCUUUCCAUGGGUUACUGCUGGUCAUGAUCCAUUUCCAAGCUUUCGUUUUCCUUACUUAUUCCAUUUGCCCGGGGGUUCACAUGGUAUUUCUCAUUAUUUCAUGUGAACUAGAGUUGACAAUUCCCAGUAGUUGGGGAUGAGGUUGGGUGACUACUUCUUGUCAAGAACACUUCGUGUCUCGACAUUUAUCCUUACCAGGUUCUAUGUUUGACCACCUUUGCGGUUAUCUAUCUUGGUUUUCAAGGAGUUCUUAUUAUCCCGUAUUUCUCCUUGAAUUUGGAAUUGGGGCAUAUUAUCUAAGGUUGUAAUCCUGAGUGUCCACUUCUCAUCAUAACUUGGUAUGAUGAUUUUUCUGAGCACCUAGUACUUGUUCCAAUUUUCAAGGGUGGUCACGAUCCUUUUUCAUGGUGUCUCUUAAGUUUUAGGGUGGAUUUGGACGGGUCUAUCCUUAAAGGUGGAAGCUGAGCGAUUUCUUUUCGUCGAGGGUUUGUAGGCCUGGAUGACUAGGCUUUAGGCUGGUUAUAUUUUACUUGGGAAUGGGCAUGGUAACCUAUUGGGUUUCUUUUUCUAAUAACUUUUGUGGUUUUCUUUGUCCUAUCGUGUUUUGAUUUGGGUUAUUUACUAUUAGGGUGGUUUAAUUUGGCGUAGUUCAUUUUUAAGUUCUACUUUAUUCUAGUUUUAUUAUUAUUAUUAUUCCUAAGUUCUUUGGGUUUUCUCUAUUCUCCUUUAUCUUAGGGUUUAUUAAUUUCUACUCUAGUUUUAUUUCUCCUUAGGGGUGAUAUUGAGGUGUAGUUAUUUUCAUCCUUUAUUUUUAUCCUAAGGUUCUUUGGGUUCCUUUAUUAACUUCCUUCCUUUAUUAUAUGUGGGUUAUUUAUUAUUACUACUAUUGGCCUUAGUUUGUUGUGGCUUUUAUUUUAUCUUUAUUCUUCUGACCCUUUCAGGUUAUAUUUGUUCUUGAGGUUUCCAUGGGUAUAUAUAUUUGCUGUUAUGGUUAUUUUUAGUUAUACCUUCAUUUAAUUUCUCCUCUUUAUGUCUAAAGGUUGCAUUUAUUUAGGGUACAUCUUACUGGUAUGGCUGGUUUUACUUAUAUUUUGUUCUACUUGUGUAGUUUAUUCUAUAUUACCUUUUGUUAUUUCUAUAGCCUAUAUUUAUUAAGAUUAAUUAUAUCCCUAGAUUUCUUUACACUUAUGUUUCUUUUGGUGGUUUCUUUAUGGGACAUUUCUUUAGUUUGUUAUAUUAUAUUACUCUUCCUUAUUUUCGAUGAUUUGACUUGGAUAUUUAUUAACUAUAUGCUAUUAGGUGGUGUUUGUAAGUUGGUUUCUCAGGAUAUUCUAAUGUCUCGACAGUUUGGUUAGGCUUAAUCACUUUUUAUCUAGGGUCAGUUUUGGUCCUUAUUUCAGGUUUCUCCUAGGAAUUUUCCUUAUCCUAGGGGUUCUUAGGGUUCUUAGGGUUUAAUGGAAACUCUUAUAUCCUUUAUUUCUUUGUUUCCUUAACUUUAAGGGUUAUCCAUUUUCUUUUCCAUUAAAAUUUCCAAGAUUUCCAACCUUAUCACUCUUUUCUUAUUUAAUGGAAACUCUUAUAUCCUUUCUUUCUUAUUUUUGUGAUUCCCUUGAUGUUCUUGGGACCUAAGAGUCAUGGGCCUACUUCAAUCAAUUUCUGCAUUUUCCAAGAUUAAUGUUCUACUUACUUCAGGAUCUACCCCAUUAAAGAGGAUUCGAACCCGUUAUCCGGAUGGAGCAUUUAGGGCUGUUUCCUAGAAAUCAUCUUUAUUUCCGGGUCUUCAUCUUGGUAGGUAGGUUUAGAUUGGUAAAGGCUAGAGUAGUUCCUUGGGUUUUCAGGAAAAGGGAGCCUUAUCCUCACAAUUUUACAACCUACUACCAACCAAUUCUAUAAUUACUACAUACGAGGGAUUUAUUUACUACGUAUAAUCAAACAUUAUUCAAUCAAAAAUACGUUACGACAAGGUCUUAGGCAUAUAUUUUGCAGAGUAUCUAAG
rnacentral:lncRNA from 1 species